rnacentral:rRNA from 1 species
UACGUAGGGUGCGAGCGUUAAUCGGAAUUACUGGGCGUAAAGGGUGCGCAGGCGGUUCUGCAAGUCAGGCGUGAAAGCCCCGGGCUUAACCUGGGAAUGGCGCUUGAAACUACAGGACUGGAGUAUGGCAGAGGGAGGUGGAAUUCCGAGUGUAGAGGUGAAAUUCGUAGAUAUUCGGAAGAACACCAGUGGCGAAGGCGACUUACUGGACACAUAUUGACGCUGAGGUGCGAAAGCGUGGGGAGCAAACAGG